GAUGAACGCUGGCGGCGUGCCUAAUACAUGCAAGUCGAGCGAACGGACGAGAAGCUUGCUUCUCUGAUGUUAGCGGCGGACGGGUGAGUAACACGUGGAUAACCUACCUAUAAGACUGGGAUAACUUCGGGAAACCGUAGCUAAUACCGGAUAAUAUUUUGAACCGCAUGGUUCAAAAGUGAAAGACGGUCUUGCUGUCACUUAUAGAUGGAUCCGCGCUGCAUUAGCUAGUUGGUAAGGUAACGGCUUACCAAGGCAACGAUGCAUAGCCGACCUGAGAGGGUGAUCGGCCACACUGGAACUGAGACACGGUCCAGACUCCUACGGGAGGCAGCAGUAGGGAAUCUUCCGCAAUGGGCGAAAGCCUGACGGAGCAACGCCGCGUGAGUGAUGAAAGUCUUCGGAUCUUAAAACUCUGUUAUUAGGGAAGAACAUAUGUGUAAGUAACUGUGCACAUCUUGACGGUACCUAAUCAGAAAGCCACGGCUAACUACGUG
rnacentral:rRNA from 1 species